ensembl:snRNA U6 U6 spliceosomal RNA
GUUCACACUUCAGCAGUACAUAUACUAAAAUUGUGAACAAUAGAGAGAAGAUUAAUAUGGUCCCUGUGCAAGGAUGACAUGCAAAUUCUUGAAGCUAUUUCUUUUUCA